rnacentral:rRNA from 1 species
GAGUAGGGCUACACACGUGCUACAAUGGUAUGUACAGAGGGAGGCAAGCUGGCGACAGUGAGCGGAUCUCUUAAAGCAUAUCGUAGUCCGGAUUGGAGUCUGCAACUCGACUCCAUGAAGUCGGAAUCGCUAGUAAUCGCAAAUCAGAAUGUUGCGGUGAAUACGUUCCCGGCCUU